UCACAGAUGACGAGUCCAAAAUAGGACGAAACGCACGUCCUGGAG
rnacentral:hammerhead_ribozyme from 1 species